rnacentral:rRNA from 1 species
UGGUGGAGUGAUUCGUCUGGUUAAUUCCGUUAACGAACGAGACCUCGACCUGCUAAAUAGUACCAGUUAUCUUCGGAUAGUCUGGUUACUUCUUAGAGGGACUAUCGGCGGUGUACCCGAUGGAAGUUCGAGGCAAUAACA